rnacentral:rRNA from 1 species
UCCGCCAGGUACUACAAGCGCCAGCUUAAAACCCAAAGGACUUGACGGUGUCUCAGACCCACCUAGAGGAGCCUGUUCUAGAACCGAUAAUCCACGUUAAACCUCACCACCCCUUGCCUCUCCCGCCUAUAUACCGCCGUCGCAAGCUUACCCUGUGAAGGGAUAAACAGUAAGCAAAAUGGGUACCCCCCAGAACGUCAGGUCGAGGUGUAGCUCACGAGGUGGAAAGAAAUGGGCUACAUUUUCUGUACCAGAAUAUUACGAACGGUAUUAUGAAACUAUUACCUGAAGGUGGAUUUAGUAGUAAAAA